UGGCUAUGAUGAAUAUUUUCCAACAUUCGCGGUUUCCACCAGAAGAACAGAUUGAGUUCUAGAGAUGGCAUUUGUCCUUCCUUGGAUGUCUGAGCCA